UACGUAGGGUGCGAGCGUUGUCCGGAAUUACUGGGCGUAAAGAGCUCGUAGGUGGUUUGUCGCGUUGUUCGUGAAAACUCACAGCUUAACUGUGGGCGUGCGGGCGAUACGGGCAGACUGGAGUACUGCAGGGGAGACUGGAAUUCCUGGUGUAGCGGUGGAAUGCGCAGAUAUCAGGAGGAACACCGGUGGCGAAGGCGGCUCUCUGGGCCUUACCUGACGCUGAGGAGCGAAAGCGUGGGUAGCGAACAGG
rnacentral:rRNA from 1 species